CUACGGGGUGUAGCAGUAGGGAAUCUUAGACAAUGGGGGAAACCCUGAUCUAGCCAUGCCGCGUGAGUGAUGAAGGCCUUAGGGUUGUAAAGCUCUUUCGCUGGGGAAGAUAAUGACGGUACCCAGUAAAGAAACCCCGGCUAACUCCGUGCCAGCAGCCGCGGUAAUACGGAGGGGGUUAGCGUUGUUCGGAAUUACUGGGCGUAAAGCGCGCGUAGGCGGGCUAUUAAGUCAGGGGUGAAAUCCCGGGGCUCAACCCCGGAACUGCCUUUGAUACUGGUAGUCUUGAGUUCGAGAGAGGUGAGUGGAAUUCCGAGUGUAGAGGUGAAAUUCGUAGAUAUUCGGAGGAACAUCAGUGGCGAAGGCGACUCACUGGCUCGAUACUGACGCUGAGGUGCGAAAGUGUGGGGAGCAAACAGGAUUAGAUACCCCGGUAGUC
rnacentral:rRNA from 1 species